GAUGAAGAACGUAGCGAAAUGCGAUAAGUAAUGUGAAUUGCAGAAUUCAGUGAAUCAUCGAAUCUUUGAACGCACAUUGCGCCCGCCAGUAUUCUGGCGGGCAUGCCUGUUCGAGCGUCAUUACAACCCUCAGGCCCCCGGGCCUGGCGUUGGGGAUCGGCGGAGCCCCCCGUGGGCACACGCCGUCCCCCAAAUGCAGUGGCGGUCCCGCCGCAGCUUCCAUCGCGUAGUAGCUAACACCUCGCGACUGGAGAGCGGCGCGGCCACGUCGUAAAACACCCAACUCUUCUGAAGUUGACCUCGAAUCAGGUAGGAAUACCCGCUGAACUUAAGCAUAUCAAUAAGCGGAGGA
rnacentral:misc_RNA from 1 species